GACGAACGCUGGCGGCGUGCUUAACACAUGCAAGUCGAACAGUGGCGAACGGGUGAGUAACACGUGAGUAACCUGCCCUCCACUUUGGGAUAACUCCGAGAAAUCGGGGCUAAUACUGGAUAGUGUGGGAUGGGCUCGCGGCCUAUGAGUUUGUUGGUGGGGUAGUGGUCACCAAGGCGUGACGGGUAGCCGGCCUGGGAGGUGGACCGGCCACACUGGGCCUGAGAGACGGCGCAGAGUGGUACGGGGGGCAGCGGGCGGGAGUAUGGCACAAUGGUGGAGAGUCUGAUGCGGCGACGCUGGGUGGGUGAAGCCCUUUUACUGGUUGUGAACCUCUUUAAGCAAGGAAGCGGUACUUGCAGAAGAAGCGCCGGCUAACUACGUGCCAGCAGCCGCGGUAAUAC
rnacentral:rRNA from 1 species